rnacentral:piRNA from 1 species
UAAUUAUGGUACUGCCUCACAAGGACC